GUAGGUAUAGCUCAGUAGUAGAGCACAUGCUUAGCAUGCACGAGGUCCUGGGUUCAAUCCCCAGUCCCUCCA
rnacentral:tRNA from 1 species